AUGAGGGGCGGCAGGACUGAGAGGGAGGCCAGGACGCGUGGCGUGGCCCCUGGUCCACAGCAGGCCCUCAGAAAGUGCCGGGUCAUGCACGAAGGACAAGAGGAGACACAGGAGACAGAGGAACAGCAAGCAUCAAGUUCAAAGAGCCCCGCUUCCUUUCCUUCUCUCUUCCCUCCAGUUCACCCUCGGCCCCAGCUGGCUCACAGGAGUGAAAGAGUGAAGAGCCAGGGAGGGGAGACCUGUGCCCCAGAGCAUCCCUGUCCCCGGGACAGUUCACAGCAGUGCCCAACUUCAGCACAACAGCCAUUCACACCGGAUCCUUCCGUGUGCCGGGGCUGCCUUGUGCUUGGCCGGGGGUCAGCAGUGUGGACUCUACCCAAUACAGUCUUCAGCACCAGCAUCCCGGCCAGGCUUCACAAUAAAGACACAGGGGCGAAGGAGGGGACAAGGCUCUCCUACAACCACCAGGCUGACCCAGACCGAAGCAGGAUUUGAACCCUGGUCCUACACGCUCCUACAAGCAU
rnacentral:lncRNA from 1 species